rnacentral:rRNA from 1 species
CCUACGGGUGGCUGCAGUGGGGAAUAUUGGACAAUGGGCGAAAGCCUGAUCCAGCCAUGCCGCGUGUGUGAAGAAGGCCUUCGGGUUGUAAAGCACUUUCAGUGGGGAAGAAAGCCUUGGGGCUAAUACCCUCGAGGAAGGACAUCACCCACAGAAGAAGCACCGGCUAACUCCGUGCCAGCAGCCGCGGUAAUACGGAGGGUGCGAGCGUUAAUCGGAAUUACUGGGCGUAAAGCGCGCGUAGGCGGUCUGAUAAGCCGGUUGUGAAAGCCCCGGGCUCAACCUGGGAACGGCAUCCGGAACUGUCAGGAUAGAGUGCAGGAGAGGAAGGUAGAAUUCCCGGUGUAGCGGUGAAAUGCGUAGAGAUCGGGAGGAAUACCAGUGGCGAAGGCGGCCUUCUGGACUGACACUGACGCUGAGGUGCGAAAGCGUGGGUAGCAAACAGGAUUAGAUACCCGUGUAGUC